rfam:Limnobacter sp. MED105 1103186003330, whole genome shotgun sequence.
UCAAAUCUGGAGAGCGCUGUGCGCGGCCAAUCGCCUCGUAAGUACAGCCGCCGAAGAGGCAAGCAACGCAAUCCGUUGUGAAUCUUUCAGGCAAAUGGACAGAGAGGGGCUA